AUUUCUUUGGUAAUCCAAGUCCUUUGAGUUCCUACACCUCUCUUACAAUUCACAACAUCGGCAGCAUGGUGCCGAUUAAGCUGAAAAGAUCAAACUACCUACCAUGGCGUGCAUUGUUUGGCCCAAUCCUCAGGCGAUACAAGCUUCUUGGAAUCAUUGAUGGAACUGAAGCAUGUCCAUCGCCAUUCCUGCCUGAUCACAGCAUCAAUCCUGCAUUUGAGGAAUGGUAUGAAAAAGAUCAAAAUCUUUUGAUCUGGUUUAAUUCCACACUUUCUGAGGAAAUCAUUCCUUUCACGGUUGGGGUUUCCUUUUCUCAUGACCUCUGGGUGAAGCUUGAACAGAGAUUUGGUGGAAUUUCAGAGGCUCACAUUCAUCAAUUGCGGUCGCGUCUUCAAUCGGUUCAAAAAGGAUCUCACUCUAUCUCUGAGUAUCUUCAAGAAAUCAAAGAGAUCUCCGAUUCCUUGCAAGCUGUUGGUGCCUCUGUCUCUAAUCGAGAUCUCAUUGCAGCCACUCUUCAUGGCUUGCCUGAUGAAUUUGAGUCGUUCACAGACUCAAUCAUGCUUCAAUUGUCCUCUACAUCUCUUGAUGAGCUCCAUGGUCUUCUUCUCACUAAGGAAUUGUCUAUGGCUUGACGCAAAAAUGUCAGUUCAUCUUCUGCAACUGAGCCUUUUCAAGCUUUCUCGGUGCAAUCUCAACCCCCUCUAUUAUCCACUCCAUCCGUGUUUGCUGCUCAGCACCAACUCCAAUCAUGGCACCAACCAAAAUCUCACAAUCGUGGCAAGAAUAAUCGGGGCAAUUCCUUCUCUCAUAGAGGCAAUCGUAACUUCCAUACCAACUGUGGUCAUUACUCCAACAAUCGUGGCAAUCGCAAUUAUCAAAGCCCUCGCCUAGCUCAAGGUUCUUCCACUUUCAAAGUUCCUUGUCAAAUCUAUGGAUCUACCAGUCAUGAGGCUAUUGACUGCUUUGAUCGCAUGAAUCUAGACAUUUGUGGUCGGAUUCCUCUAGCCAAACUCGCUGCUCUGUAUGUCAAUCACUCUGCCAAACCAUCUCCAUCUUGGUUGAUUGACUCGGGUGCCACCUCUCACAUUACCAAUGAUGUUGCCAAUAUUUCUUCUCCUACUCCCUAUACUGGCGAGGACAAAGUGUAUAUUGGUGAUGGUAAAGGACUUUCUAUUCAUCAUAUUGGUUCAUCAUUCUUACAUAUUCCUCAUAAUUCUUUUGCUCCGCAAUGUUUUACAUGUUCCACACAUGAAACAUAAUCUCUUGUCUGCCUAUCAGUUUCUUAAGGAUAAUGAUUGUUCAUUAACCCUUGACCCUUAUGGAUCCAGUGUCAAGGAUCGUAUUUCGGGGAAGAUGCUUUUGCGGGGACCGGUUAGAAAUGGAUUCUAUCCUCUUCAAGCCUCAAGUACUUCUUCAAUUUCUAUUGUUUCUUCUCAAAAAAAAAAAAAAAAAAAUCUUCACAUACAGCUUUGCUCAGUAUUAAAGCUCCUGUUAAAGUUUGACACCGGCGCUUGGGUCAUCCUUCCUCCUCUAUUCUCCGCAGGGUAAUUUCUAAUCAUCCACUGGCAUUACAAGGCAAGUCCACUAUUGAUUUCUUCUGCUCAGAUUGUGCACUUGCAAAGAAUCAUAAGCUUCCCUUUGGAGUAGCUUCUUCAAAAACAACUCAAAGUCUUCAACUUUUGCACUGUGAUCUGUGGGGUCCAGCAUCUGUUAUUUCAAAUAGUGGUUUCAAGUACUAUUUGCUUCUUGUUGACGAUUUUAGCAAAUAUAGCUGGUUCUUUCCUUUGAAGUCCAAGUCCGAUGUAUUUUCUACAUUUGUUGUCUUCAAAUAUUAUGUAGAAAAUUUACUUGGAAAUAAAAUCAAAGUUCUGCGUUCAGACUCAGGUUUAUGCAGCAACCAAACAUCCUCUUCCUGUUGAUCUUGAUUAUGUUCCUAGUACUUACUUGCAAGCUUCUAAGCAUGCUCAUUGGCGAGCAGCCAUGCAAGAUGAAUACAAUGCCUUGAUCUCUACUGGUACUUGGUCACUAGUCCCUUCUAAUCAUUCUCAAAAUUUAGUUGGCUGUAAGUGGGUGUUUCGAGUUAAGAAAAAGGCUGAUGGUACUAUUGAUAGGUACAAAGCUCGCCUUGUAGCAAAGGGUUUUCAUCAACAAGAGGGUAUUGAUUUUCAAGAGGCUUUUAGUCUGGUUGCAAAGCCGGUUACAAUUCGUAUCCUCCUCACUCUUGCUGUCCAAUAUAAUUGGUUCCUUAAUCAAUUGGAUAUAAGCAAUGCUUUUCUUCAUGGAGACUUGAAGGAGGAUGUAUACAUGCAACAACCUCCAGGAUUUGUUGAUCCAACUUCUCCUAGUCAUGUUUGCAAGUUGAGAAAAUCAUUAUAUGGACUAAAACAAGCCCCCCGAGCCUGGUUUGACAAACUCUAUCAAGCCCUUCAUUCUCUUGGAUUCCAUCAAUCAUCCUCUGAUGCAUCCUUGUUUGUUCUCAAUGGUCCUCAUUUGGUUAUUGUCCUAGUGUAUGGUGAUGACAUUCUUGUGACUGGUCCAAACUCUCACCUCUGUCAAUAGUUUAUUAAACAACUCAGUUCUCAGUUUCCAGUAAAGGAUCUUGGUCCUUUACACUACUUCUUGGGCUUAGAAGAACACCGAUCUUCACAGGGCAUUUUUCUACAUCAAACCAAAUACUUACUUGAUCUUCUCAAGAAAACAAACAUGGAGGGUGCAAAACCGUGCUGCACACCUCUUAGUUCCGUGAAACUUGAUCAUAGUGGGCCUCUCUUGUCCAAUCCCACUGAAUAUCGUUCUAUUGUAGGCGGUUUACAAUACCUAACUAGGACUAGACCGGACCUUGCUUUUGCUAUGAACCAGAUCUGCCAAUUCAUGCAUGCUCCUAGGGAACAACAUCUUCAGGCAGCUAAAAGAGUUCUCUGGUUUCUUAAAGGUUCUCUUUCCCAUGGUCUGUGGUUCACAAAGGGUCCUGUCCAUCUUUCAACCUACUCUGAUGCUGAUUGGGCCGGCUGUACGUUUGAUAGACGUUCUACAAGUGGUUACUGUGUGUUCUUAGGCUCCAAUCUCAUUAGUUGGAGUGCCAAGAAACAAAGUACAGUGGCUCGGUCCUCUACAAAAGCUGAAUAUCGCUCCUUAGCUCACACAGCUGCAGAACUCACUUGGGUUUGCAAAAUUUUUAGAGAUCUUCACUUCCCUCUACCUACACUGCCUAAACUUUGGUGUGACAACAUCUCCGCAAUCUCCCUAGCNGGAGAGCAGGGAGAACGACGCUGUUGAAGCGGAUAACAUGCCGGAAUCGAAUUGGAGUGGAGUGAGGUCGUGGCUGAUAGAAUUGGGGCUGAGCCGGUACACGCCGGUGUUCGAGAUACAUGAGGUGGACGACGAGGUGCUGCCGAUGCUGACAUUGGAGGAUCUUAAGGAUAUGGGAAUCAACGCCGUUGGUUCGCGGCGGAAAAUGUAUGCCGCCAUUCAGAAGCUCCGCAAGGGGUUCUCGUGAGUCUGCCUUUCCUUACAAUUUUUUUCUUUUUUUUUUGGUUUGGUUUAGUAGAAUAGUGUACUCUUUUUGUUCUUACAAUAACAUAAUCCACAACAAUGAUAAUCAUAGUGUUUGUGUUGUAACAUCAGCUAUUUGUUCAUUCUUUUUUGUAUUUUAAUUGUUUUUGUUUUCCCCUCAAUGCAAUGGUAAGGCUGUGUACGAUACACGUUCAUUCCCCGACCCUCGCAAAGCGGAGACCCUUGUUGACUUGGUGUCACCCUUUUUUAAUUGUAGUUUUCCCAUCAAUGCAAUGAAAUUUUCUUUAGUUUUUGAGCUAAGAGUUUCGACUUGUAGUUUGUUGAUGUAACACUACCAUAUUUUGAUCUGAAUAAAGUUUUAUGUUGAAUGAGUAAUUUGGAACCGGUGUUCGUUGCAUCCUUCCUUUGUGUCGCCCUGCCCUGUUUUUCUACUUGUCAGUACGAACUAUUAGUUGUAUGUUUUGUAGGUUUCUAGCAGCAUGUUGCGAAUUAAAGUAGCGUGGCAGUUAUGUUGUUGUCGGUUGAAAAAGAUACAUAGCUCGGAUGUUAGGAAAGCUUUGUUCUCCAUAGGAUCAUUAUAUUGGUAUUCUUCUUUUAUGUCAGGAAAGCUUUGUUCUCCAUAGUACCGCCUGUAAACUUGUAACCAAUAGUGUUGGCUUGAAUGCUUAGUGUGAUGCUAUACUUCAUACAAAAUAGUUUGGGGGAUGGGAGGAGGGGAGUUUCUUCUAGCAAAUAGUAUUAGACAGGAAUCAUUUGGAAGGGGUUAUAGGAAAUGAAUAGUGAUGGUUCACUUGUUUCUAAGCAUUGAAAGGGGUUAUUUUAUCAUUUGUUAAGAAGGAUGCUGUGGUGGAUUUGAUCCGAAAACUCAAAAGUAAUGCUGUGUGGGUAUUGCUUGUCUGGCAAGAACUGAAUCUAGUACCUAAACCCGACCCCUGUGCAGAGCAUAACAACUGGUUGUGAAUUUGUUUUUUCUUGUGUUUGAGGACAGGGUCUAGGAACAAGAACAAAAGAAUCAUAGUUUCAUGAGCUACGCUAAUGUAUACAAAAAAUCUUCAAUAGAUAGUUGGGUGGUCAUGCAGUCUACACAGAACUUGCAUGUUCCUUGGCUACGGGAUGAUGUAGAAGUUGUUUCUUUUAAAUGAUUGUGGAGCUGGUGAAAUUUGAGUGUUUGAGAAACAGUGAUGUUGUUAACCUACAGAGAGUGCGCUUGCGGGAAAAUAUUGGGCGUACUGUAUUCUGUCUUGUCAGUUAUUCUUGUACUAGUUAUACUGGAUUCUGCCUUAAAUCUGGAUAAUUGAAUUUCUUCUAGUUCGGCCUUGUUAAUCUUGUCACCUGGUUUUCCAUUAGCAUGUCGUAAGUAGCUUAGCCAUACUCCCAGUUUUCGUUGGUUCGGUGUCGGUCUACAUCUCUUAUGAUUCUCACGCUGAAAGCUGGCCGAUGAACGUUCUUUCUGAUUAGGAUUGGGCGGAGGAGGAAAAUUGUAUGCACUCAACUGGGCUGUGUGCUAGGAGGAGGCCACGGCCAUUUCUUAGAAAGUCAUCGUUGGUCAUCGUCAACUUCAAGCAACGGCCCAGGUUUCUUGAUGUCUAUGAAUCCUUGCGUCCAAAGCCGGUUGACAACCCAUUGCCUGCGUUUUUCACGAAUUCGAAAAUCCAAUGAAUGUCCUAAUUUUGUUUCGUCGUCUUCAAUUUUUCGGUUAGAAAUGUACAACUAUCUUUGCUGGAUACCUUGACCAUCCAUGCCUUAUUGCAAGCAGAAAAUUGAGCUGGUACAGUCUGGUGGCUCUUGCCUGUUUGAAAGUUUUGCAGAAAAUAUGUAUUUUUGCAGAUUCACAAGAAAAUGGUACCACUUGAUACUCUGAAUUAAAUUAAGCUAAAAAAUAUAAUAAAAGAGAAUUGGAGACACAAUUUCAUUUGUGGUUGUGGCCCUUAGUCUUGGGAUGCUUGAAUCAACACAAUUUCUCAGUAGAGAUAACAAGUGUGUGACUGUGUCACUGACCACAAUUCUAAAGUGUUAAUCACACCAAAAAACGCCCUCUGGACUCUGGACUAUGCUUGUAGAAUAAAUGCUUUCGAGAAGGGACAGCUAUCAGCAGUCUAUUAAGUCAUCUUGAAAUUUUUUAAAUUAAAAUAGGGUUAGUCCCUACGUGGAAUCAUUAACAAAAAUAUUCACAUUUAUAAUAAAUUGGCACUUUAUCAAAAUCGCUAUGGCACAUGUGUAUAGAAGAGCAAUCCCCAAAUUGGGCGUAGUUGUCAACAUAAGCUUUGUACUUUUUCAUUAUUAGGGAGAAGUACAAGUCAUCCAUUUCAGUUACUAUAAAAUAGUUAGUUAUAUGUAAAUGUGAUUAGCUGUGCUAAUGAUUGUAGGGUUGUUAUAAGGUUAGGCAGUUAAGGGGUAUUGUUGUAAAUAGCCAAAGGCUAUAUACAUAUAUAUCCUCACAGUGUACAAUUAUUUUGUUAAGUCAAUACAAUUAGAAAACUUACAGAGGAAGUUUUCUGUUUUUCUAUAUGGUAUCACACCAUUUUGCUUAACAGCAUCGAUUCCUCCUUCCGCUCAAAUUGAUCGAUCGAUCGAUUCUUGCUCGAUUCUUGAUUGAUUCCUCCUUCUCAGAUUCUUCAAUUCUUCUUCUUCGAUCUUUCUUACCUCGUGAUUUCUGCAAGAUAUGGCGGUGCAAUCCUCUUCGACACCGCCUGAAUAGUCUUCUCCGUCGAUCCAAAACCCUAAGGGUGCGUUUGUUUGGCCUCAUUAAAUGGGACUGGACUGGACUGGACUACAGUCCCAUGUUUGGUAGGUGCUAGGACUAAGUUAAGUGGGACUAAAGGGGACUCGUUCCGACUAGAGAGCUCGCUAAAGGGUCUUAGCGAGACCCCCCAAAAUGAAGCGGACUGCUAAGACGUUCGCUCUUCGCGUCGUCUGCUCCACGACCUUGCCGUCAAAUCCUCACAAUCCUUCCCCGCAUGGAUCUUCCUCUCUCUCCCUUGCUCUAUCUUUUGCACUGACAUCCCCGCAUGGACCUUGCGGCCAAAUCCUCACAGUCCUGCUAGAUGCCAAGCCGAUCUGCAUGACCCAACCUCGAUGUCGAGCCGAUCUGCAAGACCCAACCCAGAUCACGUCCUCUCCCUCUCUUUCCUCGUCCUGCUCGAAUCAGAGUGUCGUUGUUGGGUAUACAAGGAACGCAGCUGCGAUUUCGAUUUCGAUGUCGAUUGAAAUUGAAUUUUUGAUUGUUUAUGUUUUGGGAGCUUUAUCGAUUCAAAUGGAGGAGAAAGAUGUGGUUGCAAGUAGUGGAAUUUGGAUGGAGCGCUUUAUCAAUUGAAAUGAAAAAAAGUUGUGAUUGGAAUCUAUGGAGUUUGGACGGAAAAAAAUAGACAGAACAGAGGUUUCAGGCAGGAAAAAGAAAUAGAAAAAGAAAAAAAAAGAAUUAAUUUUAUUAUUUUUAUUAUCCUACUUCUAAUCCGAUACUGCACCAAACGCUUCACUAAGUUAGUCCUGCUUAGUCUAGUCUAACCCAGUCCAACUUAGUCCCUGAAGCUAGUCCAGUUCGAGAUAGUCCGGUGCAACAAACGCACCCUAAUUUCUUUGGUAAUCCAAGUCCUUUGAGUUCCUACACCUCUCUUACAAUUCACAACAUCGGCAGCAUGGUGCCGAUUAAGCUGAAAAGAUCAAACUACCUACCAUGGCGUGCAUUGUUUGGCCCAAUCCUCAGGCGAUACAAGCUUCUUGGAAUCAUUGAUGGAACUGAAGCAUGUCCAUCGCCAUUCCUGCCUGAUCACAGCAUCAAUCCUGCAUUUGAGGAAUGG
rnacentral:lncRNA from 1 species